rnacentral:rRNA from 1 species
UACGUAGGGUGCGAGCGUUGUCCGGAAUUACUGGGCGUAAAGAGCUCGUAGGUGGUUUGUCGCGUUGUUCGUGAAAACUCACAACUCAAUUGUGGGCGUGCGGGCGAUACGGGCAGACUGGAGUACUGCAGGGGAGACUGGAAUUCCUGGUGUAGCGGUGGAAUGCGCAGAGUAUCAGGAGGAACACCGGUGGCGAAGGCGGGUCUCUGGGCCGAUACUGACGCUGAGGAGCGAAAGCGUGGGGAGCGAACAGG